GAUGGAAAGCACUUGAAAAGAGGGUGAAAAGCACCUGAAACCGCCACGGGGGAAGCGGAUUGCAUCAGUGUUUGCUUGUAUCUGUUCAGCUAUCAAUUUUGGUAGUGUAUUCAGUACUUGCUGUGUUGGCAUGGCUGCUUUGGCUUCGGAUUAUGCGAAGCUAAGUGGUGAGGGCUCCUUUCUAGUUGAGGAUGUCAACAAAAUGAUGCGACCCGACCCGUCUUGAAACACGGACCAAGGAGUCUAGCACUACUGCAAGUCGAAGGGUUUAAAAACUCAUGGGCGAAGUGAAAGCGAAUAUUAGGAGAUCUGAUACAGAUUAGGGAGGUGUUGCGACGUUGUCAAAAUAUCCUACCCAGAGCAGUUGUGCUGGGACCCGAAAGAUGGUGAACUAUGCCGGAAUAGGGCAAAGCCAGAGGAAACUCUGGUGGAGGCUCGUAGCGAUGCUGACGUGCAAAUCGCUCGUCGAAUUUGGGUAUAGGGGCGAAAGACUAAUCGAACCAUCUAGUAGCUGGUUCCCUCCCGAAGUUUCUCUCAGGAUAGCGGGCCGACGAUGUGGGGUUGUUUUGUGU
rnacentral:rRNA from 1 species